rnacentral:rRNA from 1 species
AGAGUUUGAUCAUGGCUCAGAACGAACGCUGGCGGCGUGGAUAAGACAUGCAAGUCGAGCGAGACAUUCACUGCAGCAAUGUGGUGGAUGUUUAGCGGCGCAAGGGUGCGUAACACGUGGGUAAUUUGCCAUGAAGUCUGGAAUAACUUACUGAAAGGUGAGCUAAUACCGGAUGUGAUCUUUGGGAGGCAUCUCCCGAAAUUCAAAGUUGGGGACCGCAAGGCCUGACGCUUCAUGAUAAGCCCGCGGUCUAUCAGCUAGUUGGUGAGGUAACGGCUCACCAAGGCUAAGACGGAUAGCUGGUCUGAGAGGACGACCAGCCACACUGGAACUGAGACACGGUCCAGACACCUACGGGUGGCAGCAGUCGAGAAUUUUUCACAAUGGGCGCAAGCCUGAUGGAGCGACGCCGCGUGGGGGAUGAAUGGCUUCGGCCCGUAAACCCCUGUCAUUUGCGAACAAACCUUCCGACCUAACACGUCGGGAGCUGAUUGUAGCGAAAGAGGAAGGGACGUGCUUAACUCUGUGCUAGCCGCCGCGGUAAUC